AGGUGUGGCUACAGUAUAAUUUCAAGUUUCCAGUUUUUACACGUUGACGGUUCUGUUUCCUCUUUUUGUCCAACAAAGCUCAAUGGAUCUUGUCCAAGACUACGUUAAACCUUUAAAAGAGUUUGCCAAGGACUCCAUUAGACUAGUGAAGAGAUGUACAAAGCCUGAUCUGAAAGAGUUUCAGAAGAUAGCUUUUGCAACUGCUAUAGGAUUUGCCAUAAUGGGCUUCAUUGGAUUCUUUGUUAAGCUAAUUCAUAUUCCAAUUAACAACAUAUUGGUUGGUCGCUGAGUUCCAAGAUAUUACCUCAUUCUCACCUGUUAUGAUAAUUACAUAAACCAGUAAUUAUUGUCUUAUUUGUCUCUUUUAAUAAUAAAGAAAUAAGCAACCAAUUUAAACUUUAAA